UGAUUAUGGACUUUCCGAAUAGUUUUUCUCUAAGUUCAGUAUUUUUGUGAUUUUGCUUUUUAUUACAUGGAUAUGUAAACUUUGGUAGGAGAUGAGCACAUUAUCAUCAAUAAACACAUUGCUGCUUGACAUGAAGUACAGCUAGAUGAGUAAAUAUUGGUAGGAGAUGAGCACAUUAUCAUCAAUAAACACAUUGCUGCUUGACAUAAAGC
rnacentral:lncRNA from 1 species